UAUGUCAUUGUGCCAGCCGCCGCGGUCAUACGUAGGGAGCGAGCGUUGUCCGGAAUGACUGGGUGUAAAGGGAGCGUAGGCGGGAUGGCAAGUCAGAUGUGAAACCUGAGGGCUCAACCUUCAGACUGCAUUUGAAACUGCUGUUCUUGAGUGAAGUAGAGGUAAGCGGAAUUCCUGGUGUAGCGGUGAAAUGCGUAGAGAUCAGGAGGAACAUCGGUGGCGAAGGCGGCUUACUGGGCUUUUACUGACGCUGAGGCUCGAAAGCGUGGGGAGCAAACAGG
rnacentral:rRNA from 1 species